GGCAUUUACUGAAAGACAUUUGCUUCAUUGCUCGUGGGUCAGAGGAAAUCUUGAUAACAACCCAUAUAGAGAGGACGAUCAUUGCUUAGCCUGCCUGGAAAAGGUCAAUAUGCCCUGUUCUCCACCCUCCAUCCGCCAUACACUUUACACGUAAAAAGAUCAAAGACAAUUACCAACCAGAGACAGAGCCCAUAAAGAUUAUUGGAGACUUCAUCGUUCUGUGGAAACAGCAUCCAGUGCAUUCUGCACGCAAUUGGACUGAGCUGAGGCAUCCUCUUGUUUAGGUGGACUUGGCUGUCCAUAGCAGCUGAAGUUCCAGUUGGAAUUAUUUCAGAAAGACUAAGUGUAUUUAUCAUAUGGAGAUUUUAAUCCACAUUUGAGUCUGCUUCAAUCAAGACUUUCUAAGCCAUUUUCAACUCACUCCUGAGAUUAUUGAAAAUAAUUUGCAGGCCUUACACAUUUUUGAUUAUGUACUCACCAGAAGAAUUUUGAAAAGCUCUGCAUUCCCUUGCCCAUUUUUAACUUAACAUUAAAACAUAAAGCUCUUGUACAUGUCAAGAAUCUACAAAAUGUAAACAUAGAUAUUUUCAGAAAAAAUUGAUAGAGCACUCUUUUAAAUGUAUUUGAUGGAUCCUAAUACCAUAGUAAUUUGACAUACAUGAUCAUCCAUGAAGCAAUUAUCAGGUCAUCUUUAAUAACUGAAAAUAUUUUAUCAUUGCCUUUUGUCAUUGAACAUUCCAAUUCCCCUACAGAAUGUUAAUACAUGUUUGUACUGAACAUCUUUUAUCAUCUCUCUGUCACAUAUCUCUGAAACAAAUACAUAUUAGAACUUGAAA